UCGGGAAUUUUGGGCAAUGGGGGAAACCCUGACCCAGCAACGCCGCGUGAAGGAUGAAGUAUUUCGGUAUGUAAACUUCGAAAGAAUAGGAAGAAUAAAUGACGGUACUAUUUAUAAGGUCCGGCUAACUACGUGCCAGCAGCCGCGGUAAUACGUAGGGACCAAGCGUUGUUCGGAUUUACUGGGCGUAAAGGGCGCGUAGGCGGCGUGGUAAGUCACUUGUGAAAUCUCCGAGCUUAACUCGGAACGGUCAGAUGAUACUGCUUUGCUAGAGUGCAGAAGGGGCAAUCGGAAUUCUUGGUGUAGCGGUGAAAUGCGUAGAUAUCAAGAGGAACACCUGAGGUGAAGACGGGUUGCUGGGCUGACACUGACGCUGAGGCGCGAAAGCCAGGGGAGCAAACGGGAUUAGAUACCCCAGUAGUCCCUGAGCGGGCUGGCAAGGCGCAU
rnacentral:rRNA from 1 species